rnacentral:rRNA from 1 species
UACGGAGGGAGCUAGCGUUGUUCGGAAUUACUGGGCGUAAAGCGCACGUAGGCGGCUCAGCAAGUCAGGGGUGAAAUCCCGGGGCUCAACCCCGGAACUGCCUCUGAAACUGCUAGGCUAGAAUCCUGGAGAGGCGAGUGGAAUUCCGAGUGUAGAGGUGAAAUUCGUAGAUAUUCGGAAGAACACCAGUGGCGAAGGCGACUCGCUGGACAGGUAUUGACGCUGAGGUGCGAAAGCGUGGGGAGCAAACAGG